GAGCGUGUAGCUCAGACGGAUAGAGCGGCCGCCUCCUAAGCGGCAGGUCCCCGGUUCGACUCCGGGCACGCUCA
rnacentral:tRNA from 1 species